AACGAACGCUGGCGGCAGGCUUAACACAUGCAAGUCGAACGCAUCCUUCGGGGUGAGUGGCAGACAGGUGAGUAACGCGUGGGAACAUGCCCUUCAGUUCGGAAUAACCCAGGGAAACUUGGGCUAAUACCGGAUACGUGCGAGAGCAGAAAGAUUUAUCGCUGAAGGAGUGGCCCGCGUCUGAUUAGCUAGUUGGUGAGGUAAAGGCUCACCAAGGUGACGAUCAGUAGCUGGUCUGAGAGGAUGAUCAGCCACACUGGGACUGAGACACGGCCCAGACUCCCACGGGAGGCAGCAGUGGGGAAUAUUGGACAACGGGCGCAAGCCUGAUCCAGCCAUGCCGCGUGAGUGAUGAAGGCCUUAGGGUUGUAAAGCUCUUUCGGCGGGGACGAUAAUGACGGUACCCGCAGAAGAAGCCCCGGCUAACUUCGUGCCAGCCGCCGCGGUAA
rnacentral:rRNA from 1 species